AUUGAACGCUGGCGGCAGGCCUAACACAUGCAAGUCGAGCGGAUGCAGGGAGCUUGCUCCUGGAUUCAGCGGCGGACGGGUGAGUAAUGCCUAGGAAUCUGCCUGGUAGUGGGGGCUAACGUCCGGAAACGGGCGCUAAUACCGCAUACGUCCUGAGGGAGAAAGUGUGGGAUCUUCGGACCUCACGCUCUCAGAUGAUCCUAGGUCGGAUUAGCUAGUUGGUGGGGUAAAGGCCUACCAAGGCGACGAUCCGUAACUGGUCUGAGAGGAUGAUCAGUCACACUGGAACUGAGACACGGUCCAGACUCCUACGGGAGGCAGCAGUGGGGAAUAUUGGACAAUGGGCGAAAGCCUGAUCCAGCCAUGCCGCGUGUGUGAAGAAGGUCUUCGGAUUGUAAAGCACUUUAAGUUGGGAGGAAGGGCAGUAAGUUAAUACCUUGCUGUUUUGACGUUACCAAAAGAAUAAGCACCGGCUAACUUCGUG
rnacentral:rRNA from 1 species